AACAUCGCGCACCUGCGGGAACCUGCGGAGGGAUCAUUACAGAGUUGCAAAACUCCCUAAACCAUUGUGAACGUUACCUAAACCGUUGCUUCGGCGGGCGGCCCGGGUCCUUCCCGGCGCCCCUCGGCCCUCGCGGGCGCCCGCCGGAGGUAAACCAAACUAUUGCAUUGUAUGGCCUCUCUGAGCCUUCUGUACUGAAUAAGUCAAAACUUUCAACAACGGAUCUCAGAUCGGAAGAGC
rnacentral:misc_RNA from 1 species